ACUCGAUACUGUUGCCAAAAAUGUGCCAUUUAUUCAAGCUUCAAAAGUUGAUAAAUGGCACAUUUUUGGCAACAGUAUCGAGUCC